rnacentral:lncRNA from 1 species
CACAGAUGUUGGGCUCUGUAAUGCACUUUUUUCCCCCUCUGCCACUGCUUCUGAGUGUUUCUCUGGCUGCCUGGAUGUCUUCGUUACUGCCUGUUGGGGGAGUGUGCUCCGAGGUGCUAGUGGGGUGUGAAACCUCGGGGGAUUGACUGGUGCUGCUGAGCAGGCAGGAUGGCUAGGUACUUAAGAUCAACUUUGCCUUUUCCACACUCGACACCAGGUUUUAACUGUUCUGCCUGCCUGAGAAUCAUUUCAAGCUGUCUAGGAGGAAAAUAAUGUUGGGGUGUCUUUUUCAUUCAGCCACGUCUGUUUUGACUGGAAUAUAACCGUUUCUUAACUGGGUCUUGCCUUUGUGUUCAUUUGGUCAGUCCAAGAAUUCUUUUCUUCCUCUCCUUGUCUAUUCACCUGGUUCGCUCUGUCUGAGCUACAGCGGUUUCUAGGUAUUCUCUUCUACCUUGACCUUAUCCUCAAUGGGCCAAACUGUAGAAGUUGCCUACAAAGCCAUCUC